rnacentral:rRNA from 1 species
UUGGCUUAGAAGCAGCCAUCAUUUAAAGAAAGCGUAAUAGCUCACUGGUCGAGUCGGCCUGCGCGGAAGAUGUAACGGGGCUAAACCAUGCACCGAAGCUGCGGCAGCGACACUAUGUGUUGUUGGGUAGGGGAGCGUUCUGUAAGCCUGUGAAGGUGUGCUGUGAGGCAUGCUGGAGGUAUCAGAAGUGCGAAUGCUGACAUAAGUAACGAUAAAGCGGGUGAAAAGC